GAUGAACGCUCGCGAUAGGCUUAACACAUGCAAGUCGAGGGGCAGCAUGGUCUUAGCUUGCUAAGACUGAUGGCGACCGGCGCACGGGUGCGUAACGCGUAUGCAACUUGCCUCACAGAGGGGGAUAACCCGUCGAAAGACGGCCUAAUACCGCGUACACUCCAUCUUGUGCAUCCAAGGUAGAGGAAAUGAAAUUCGCUGUGAGAUAGGCUUGCGUCCCCUUAGCUGGUUGGUAAGGUAACGGCUCACCAGGGCGACGGUGGGUAGGGGAACGACAAGGUUGAACACCCACACUGGGACGGGAACACGGACCAGACUCCUACGGGAGGCAGCAGUGAGGAAUAUUAGUCAAUGGGCGAGAGCCUGAACCAGCCAAGUCGCGUGAAGGAUGACUGUGUUAUGGAUGGUAAACUUCUUUUAGACGGGAAUAACAAGAGUCACGGGUGACUCCCUGCAUGUACCGGAUGAAUAAGCAUCGGCUAACUCCGUG
rnacentral:rRNA from 1 species